UCUUACGGAUGAGCAAAGAAGGUGGUUUCUUGAGAUGGAAUCUACUCUUGUUGAAAAUACCGUGAA
rnacentral:pre_miRNA from 1 species